ACGAAAAGCAUGUUUGUCUAUGAACGGGGGGCGGUAGCUCACCCGGGAGAGGCAUCCAUCCCAACUUCUCACACCACACCCCCUUUGUGCACGAUCGUGAGCCAUCGCUUGGCCGAUCGCACGUGAAAUCCAUGCGACUGGCCCUGUCAUUGGUCUCGCCUUUCUUUUUUACACGCACCAUAAAGUACAUAUUAGAACGACACUUUCUCGUGUUGAUUUACUUCACACGAAACAAAUA
rnacentral:misc_RNA from 1 species